rnacentral:rRNA from 1 species
GAUGAACGCUGGCGGCGUGCAUAACACAUUCAAGUCGAACGGUGAAGUGACUUCGGUCAUGGAACAGUGGCGGACGGGUGAGUAACGCGUGAAUAACCUGCCUGUGUGUGAGGGAUAACAACCGGAAACAGUUGCUAAUACCGCAUAAUGUAUCAGUUUCGCAUGUGACUGAUACCAAAGAUUUAUUGCACACAGAUGGAUUCGCGUCCGAUUAGAUAGUUGGUGAGGUAACGGCCCACCAAGUCGACGAUCGGUAGCCGGACUGAGAGGUCGAACGGCCACAUUGGAACUGAGAAACGGUCCAG